GGUUAAGCGACUAAGCGUACACGGUGGAUGCCCUGGCAGUCAGAGGCGAUGAAGGACGUGCUAAUCUGCGAAAAGCGUCGGUAAGGUGAUAUGAACCGUUAUAACCGGCGAUGUCCGAAUGGGGAAACCCAGUGUGUUUCGACACACACUAUCAUUAACUGAAUCCAUAGGUUAAUGAGGCGAACCGGGGGAACUGAAACAUCUAAGUACCCCGAGGAAAAGAAAUCAACCGAGAUUCCCCCAGUAGCGGCGAGCGAACGGGGAGGAGCCCAGAGCCUGAAUCAGUGUGUGUGUGUUAGUGGAAGCGUCUGGAAAGGCGCGCGAUACAGGGUGACAGCCCCGUACACAAAAAUGCACAUGCUGUGAGCUCGAUGAGUAGGGCGGGACACGUGGUAUCCUGUCUGAAUAUGGGGGGACCAUCCUCCAAGGCUAAAUACUCCUGACUGACCGAUAGUGAACCAGUACCGUGAGGGAAAGGCGAAAAGAACCCCGGCGAGGGGAGUGAAAAAGAACCUGAAACCGUGUACGUACAAGCAGUGGGAGCCCUGAUUUAUCAGGGUGACUGCGUACCUUUUGUAUAAUGGGUCAGCGACUUAUAUUCUGUAGCAAGGUUAACCGAAUAGGGGAGCCGGAGGGAAACCGAGUCUUAACUGGGCGUUAAGUUGCAGGGUAUAGACCCGAAACCCGGUGAUCUAGCCAUGGGCAGGUUGAAGGUUGGGUAACACUAACUGGAGGACCGAACCGACUAAUGUUGAAAAAUUAGCGGAUGACUUGUGGCUGGGGGUGAAAGGCCAAUCAAACCGGGAGAUAGCUGGUUCUCCCCGAAAGCUAUUUAGGUAGCGCCUCGUGAAUUCAUCUCCGGGGGUAGAGCACUGUUUCGGCAAGGGGGUCAUCCCGACUUACCAACCCGAUGCAAACUGCGAAUACCGGAGAAUGUUAUCACGGGAGACACACGGCGGGUGCUAACGUCCGUCGUGAAGAGGGAAACAACCCAGACCGCCAGCUAAGGUCCCAAAGUCAUGGUUAAGUGGGAAACGAUGUGGGAAGGCCCAGACAGCCAGGAUGUUGGCUUAGAAGCAGCCAUCAUUUAAAGAAAGCGUAAUAGCUCACUGGUCGAGUCGGCCUGCGCGGAAGAUGUAACGGGGCUAAACCAUGCACCGAAGCUGCGGCAGCGACACUGUGUGUUGUUGGGUAGGGGAGCGUUCUGUAAGCCUGCGAAGGUGUGCUGUGAGGUAUGCUGGAGGUAUCAGAAGUGCGAAUGCUGACAUAAGUAACGAUAAAGCGGGUGAAAAGCCCGCUCGCCGGAAGACCAAGGGUUCCUGUCCAACGUUAAUCGGGGCAGGGUGAGUCGACCCCUAAGGCGAGGCCGAAAGGCGUAGUCGAUGGGAAACAGGUUAAUAUUCCUGUACUUGGUGUUACUGCGAAGGGGGGACGGAGAAGGCUAUGUUGGCCGGGCGACGGUUGUCCCGGUUUAAGCGUGUAGGCUGGUUUUCCAGGCAAAUCCGGAAAAUCAAGGCUGAGGCGUGAUGACGAGGCACUACGGUGCUGAAGCGACAAAUGCCCUGCUUCCAGGAAAAGCCUCUAAGCAUCAGGUAACAUCAAAUCGUACCCCAAACCGACACAGGUGGUCAGGUAGAGAAUACCAAGGCGCUUGAGAGAACUCGGGUGAAGGAACUAGGCAAAAUGGUGCCGUAACUUCGGGAGAAGGCACGCUGAUAUGUAGGUGAAGCGACUUGCUCGUGGAGCUGAAAUCAGUCGAAGAUACCAGCUGGCUGCAACUGUUUAUUAAAAACACAGCACUGUGCAAACACGAAAGUGGACGUAUACGGUGUGACGCCUGCCCGGUGCCGGAAGGUUAAUUGAUGGGGUCAGCGCAAGCGAAGCUCUUGAUCGAAGCCCCGGUAAACGGCGGCCGUAACUAUAACGGUCCUAAGGUAGCGAAAUUCCUUGUCGGGUAAGUUCCGACCUGCACGAAUGGCGUAAUGAUGGCCAGGCUGUCUCCACCCGAGACUCAGUGAAAUUGAACUCGCUGUGAAGAUGCAGUGUACCCGCGGCAAGACGGAAAGACCCCGUGAACCUUUACUAUAGCUUGACACUGAACACUGGUCCUUGAUGUGUAGGAUAGGUGGGAGGCUUUGAAGUGUGGACGCCAGUCCAGUCUGCAUGGAGCCGUCCUUGAAAUACCACCCUUUAAUGGCUGGUGUUCUAACGUGGGCCCGUAAUCCGGGUUGCGGACAGUGUCUGGUGGGUAGUUUGACUGGGGCGGUCUCCUCCUAAAGAGUAACGGAGGAGCACGAAGGUUGGCUAAUCCUGGUCGGACAUCAGGAGGUUAGUGCAAUGGCAUAAGCCAGCUUGACUGCGAGCGUGACGGCGCGAGCAGGUGCGAAAGCAGGUCAUAGUGAUCCGGUGGUUCUGAAUGGAAGGGCCAUCGCUCAACGGAUAAAAGGUACUCCGGGGAUAACAGGCUGAUACCGCCCAAGAGUUCAUAUCGACGGCGGUGUUUGGCACCUCGAUGUCGGCUCAUCACAUCCUGGGGCUGAAGUAGGUCCCAAGGGUAUGGCUGUUCGCCAUUUAAAGUGGUACGCGAGCUGGGUUUAGAACGUCGUGAGACAGUUCGGUCCCUAUCUGCCGUGGGCGCUGGAGAACUGAGGGGGGCUGCUCCUAGUACGAGAGGACCGGAGUGGACGCAUCACUGGUGUUCGGGUUGUCAUGCCAAUGGCACUGCCCGGUAGCUAAAUGCGGAAGAGAUAAGUGCUGAAAGCAUCUAAGCACGAAACUUGCCCCGAGAUGAGUUCUCCCUGAGACUUAGAGUCUCCUGAAGGAACGUUGAAGACGACGACGUUGAUAGGCCGGGUGUGUAAGCGCAGCGAUGCGUUGAGCUAACCGGUACUAAUGAACCGUGAGGCUUAACCUU
rnacentral:rRNA from 1 species